rnacentral:rRNA from 1 species
UACGGAGGGUGCAAGCGUUGUUCGGAUUUAUUGGGCGUAAAGAGCGUGUAGGCGGCCCGGUAAGUCCGCUGUGAAAGUCGGGGGCUCAACCCUCGAAUGCCGGUGGAUACUGUCGGGCUAGAGUGCGGAAGAGGCGAGUGGAAUUCCUGGUGUAGCGGUGAAAUGCGCAGAUAUCAGGAGGAACACCGAUGGCGAAGGCGGCAUCCUGGACCGGCAUUGACGCUGAGGCGCGAAAGCUAGGGGAGCAAACGGG